GGAGGUCAAGCCACCAAAACCUGGAAUGCCAACGAAGCCACCGUCGCUGUCGUGGCCUGUCUCCGUGGUAACCUGUUUGCCGCAGAGGACUCUGGGAGUUGUAGUUGGGCCGGAGCCGGCUGCGCGCCCUAGCCGCCCUACAGCUACAGUUAGUGUUCGCCAGCGGCCACCGCAGGCAAACGGCAGGCACCGCGGACGGAGUAAGCAGCCCCGUUCGCCCUUAGCACGAGGAGGAGUUCCUGUCCUACAGAAGUUCUCCAGAGAAAAUGGCACCGACAACGCAGUGGGUGCAUGAGUCACAGCAUCACCCUCUUCAGCCCGGAGACCUUGUCUAGCUGUGGCUUUCGGAGCAUCUCUCCUUGGAGCUAUGAACAGAACAAGGAGUUCGCCUCCCAUUGAGGACUUUCUGAAAGAGGAUCCUGUGGGUGACUUCAUACAGCCACCAAACUAGAAGCAGCCUUGGAAUGCUUCAGUCCCUUCUGCUGGUGGCAGAGACCCUUCUUCUGGAGUGCUUCAUGUAGGUGAGGAGGGAGGACAGUGACCCAGCGGCCAGGUGGGCCCCUUGCCCUGUCACGCCUUCUUCAUGGCUCUCUGUUGGGUGAACAUUUGAAGUCACAAAUGCUCAGCGCACCCCCACACACGCCGCAUCCUCAGCUCCCUCCCUGGUCUCCCUGUCUCUCCGAUAUGGGGGCACCCCUGAGUUUCGUCAUCUGUGACGACCGUCCGCCCGCUCUCCAGCCGGAACCUCAGCGAUGAAUAAGGGCUGAUUUCUUCUCAAAUGAUUGCCGCCCCCAAUUCAUCACAUUCAAAGGACUCGUUCGCAGUGGCUCAUCAGGUGCCGCAAGGUGGUGCUUUCUGGAACAUCACACUGUGCGUCUGCGUCCGGGAUGCGCACGAGCUGUGACGUUUGAGCUCCCAGCAGAGAAACAGCAUCUCAUCAUUUGGAUUCUCCACAGCACCUCUGAGCAUGACGCACCCAGGGAUGAGGCUGUCUCAGCAGCUGCGGAUGCUGUGGUCCAAGCAGAUGGUUUAGGACAUUUGCUGUUGACUAAAAGCAGCCUCUUCUGGGAUGCUUGUCCCUCAGGCUCUUCAAGGUCACACAGGGAAGAAGGUGACCUACUUACUGUCACCCCUUCCUCCUCAGCCUCAUGCCAAGCAGGCCACCCAGGUUAGCUCUGAAGCCCCAGAAGGUAACGGAUGGAGGCCUAGUCCCAUUGCACCAGGCUGCAUGGAGAGGUUACUCAUCAGGAGUUGCACUGGCCUGGGAGUACCCAGGAGGAGGGUGCAGGCUGCAAACCCCCUUGCAGAGUUGCUUGUUGUGAGCCUGGCUCUAGGACCACCUAGGGCUCUCAGGGUCAGAGCCUAUCUGAGCUCAUGCAGAGAACCUGAAGGACAGAGGUGAAUAACUACUGCCUCCCCUGGCCACCUUGUGACUUUAUCCCUCUGGCGUGUGGCUAACUUCUAGGUCCCACAUAGGAAGCACAGAAAAGGCCUCUUUCCUCUUGUUAGUUACAAAAUCUCUUGUCUACCCUGAAAAAUAAGGGCACAUUCUGUGUCUGAAUUCAAGAGUUUAUGCAGCUUGGAACUCUCUCCUAGCCAAACCUGUGCCUGGCAGGGCAGGAAGAGUGGUCGCUUAGAGUGGCUGAGCAGGUGGCAGGUUGGAGCUCAGGUGUUAGGAGGAUGGUGGGCCUGCCAGCUGCUGCCGUUGGCUUGCCAGAGGCCACAUGCUGUCUGGGCCCCAGAGACAGCCAGUCACUGUCUUCGUGUGCUCCACUUCUGGCAGUUUAUAGCUGGAAUGUCAUUUAUAAGCCUCCAGAAUAUUCCCUCAAAUUGCUUGAGCAAUUACUGGCAGGAGGCCACAGCCGAUAAGAUAUGGGGAAAACGGGUGGAAGAGAUCAAAGUGGGUAGGAGAGUAAAAGGUUUUGGAGGAACAAAGGUCCAGGGGUUGACUCUAGACCAGGCCUUCCCAGGAGGCUAGCAAAGGCCUCUCAGGAAGUUGUUGAAGAAACUAGGUCUUUAAAAAAAAAAAACCAACCAACCAAGCAGGUCAGAUGGAGAGCUGUGAAGUCAGGUUACCCCCAUCCCAUUCCCCACCCCACUCCCCACCUUGAGGACAUCACUUCAGUUCCCAACCAGAAAAUAUAAGCAGUCAGCUAGCAUGCAUAUAAGUGUCCCCUGUGCUGAGUGUCAUACACAGUAUCUCAGUUACUCUUCCCCAUAGCCCUUUGAAACAGCCGUGUUCCCACCCUUGUGUUGCAAAUGAAGGAAAUAAGAUACAAAGAAGUUCAAUGGCCUGAUUGAAUCACAGAGCUAAUUAGAGGAGUCCAGAUUCGAGUUCAGGUCUGCCUCUGACCUUCAUUGUCGGUGGCUCAUUUUUCCAUUGCAGGAUUUUUAAUUCCACUUGGUGGAAUCACCAGUGCAUGUUCUGGCUGGGUCAAGGGCCAUCUGGAAAUAGUGCCACCUCCACCAUCUUGGGCUUGUCAAAGCUGCCCCAAGGAUUCCAGGAAACCAAGUCUCACAGUGAGCAUUUCCAACUCUGUGAAAGUCACAUUCCUUUUUUGUGUGUAUGUGGAACUGGGGAUUGAACUCAUACCCUUAUGCUUGCCAGGGAAGUGCUUAUUCUACUGAGCCAUCUCCCCAGCCCAAAAGUCACAUUCCUGAGAUGUCAAGCUUCCCUCCAACAUCACUGGAGUCUCUGCUGUGGGAGCUGGGGAAUCGCGAGUCAUGGCAGAUUUGGGAAUCUGUUACCACUCUCAGUUCUGCAGGCCAGGCAUUAGGGUCAGUUUCUACCCCACUAUGCCUAGAACCUUCAUGGUAUUGGCUGGAAUAGCUGGAGAUGGAGUCUUGUUUGUGUCCUCAGAGUCUUGUUUGUGUCCUCUAACACAUUGCUCCUCUCCUGGUAGCGUCCACUGGGACCAAGGUGUCCUUGAUGGCCUUUCCUUCUGUGGAACCACUCACUAGAGCAGCCCUUCUUCUGUGCUUCACCUUUGGUCCUCUCCACUGGGCUCCCCUCUGCCUGUUUGCCCCCAGCCCUGCUGCCCUGGUGGCUCUGCCAUACUAUGGGACUCUAGGGUGUGUGCACAGUUCAUUGCAUUGGGACCCAGCAUAUGCUGGCCAGAGACUUUUGAAGUUGUCUGACUCAGAAACAGACUGGACAUCAUCCUGACAAUGUGUAACAAGAUGUCAGGAGAGUGAGCAGGCCUGGAUGGACCAGUGUGCCACCCAAAAUUCCAAUUUGAAUGAAGAAAAACAGAACAAGCUAUAAUGGAGAGAAGAAUAGGCUUGCUUUUUGCAAGAAGAUGAGGGGCCAACCUGAGUAGAGCUGGUGGAUGCUAGAGAGAGGUAACAGCCCCAGAGCUGCCCUCAUGCCUGUGGCUUGCCCAGCCUCAGCCAUGCAUGUCACUGCAGCAAGCUUAUAUACAUGUUUCCUUUUGUGUCACUUGGCUUAGAAACCAUGUGACAGUGCUGCAUUAAACUCUGGAAAUGGCUGGGAGUCUUGAGUCCAUGAGACUAUGAGACACAGGAAAAGCCAGUCUGUUGAGGCAGUGACAGAGGAGGAGCCCAGGUCCUUGAUGGCAUUCUCGAGCCACUGUAACUAUCCUGGAACCACCAGCUUCCAGCAUGUCAGCCAUAUAGCUUAAAGGUCUUUGUUUUCUAAGCAGACUUCUAGAGGCCCUUUACAGCCUGUAGUGUUCUCAGAACCUUUGUGUCAUCUCCCCCACAGCUUUUCUUGUCACCCUCUGGCUCAAGUGGAAAAUCUACCUAGCCACUAAUGAAAGAAACUGUUUUGGGGUGGUGAGAAGGAUAGCUCAGGAUUGCUCACCACCUGCACGGCAAUCCCAGCGCUUAGUCCCACCUGUGGAUAGACGAGGAAAGACAAGUAUUUGGGAAGGUUCCAGCUGUCUGAGUAUGAGUCUUCUGAGAUGGGCUCAGUGGUGGAUUAUAGGAGGACAAGUUCAGAAGGGUUCAGUGGCUGAGAUCUGGGGCCUGUGUCGGGGCCUAGAGGAGACCAUGGCAGAAGGUGGGUAAAUUCUGGAGCGAGGAUGGCACCCACAGCUGCAUGUUUGAGGCCUCUGUAGUAGAUGAAGUUUGUGGCAGCUGAAACUAGACUGUGGGGACCUGGGCCUUGCAGUGAAGCAGACUUGAUGAUGUUUUUCGACCAUCUUGGGAACAGAGGCCCCUGACUUGUGGCAUUCUGUUCUUUGCCUUGUAUGGCAGUCCUUAGUUUCCCCAUCUUCUCCAUCUACCUUUUCCAAGUAAAUCCAGGAGCCAGAAAUGCACAAGACCUGAGUCACUGCUAACGCACUUGGGAAGUUCAGAUAGUGGGAGGCAAGGAUGUAUUUUGGGAGACUUAGACUGCUCGUCUAGGAAGAGGAGUUAGAUUGGCAGGCAAGAGAGCAGUUGGUGAAUGUGAACUGGAGAAAGCUUCCCCUUGGGACAGCUUCUGGUUGUUUUGUGAUUCUGUGACAAGAAAUGUACCUCGUCCUUCCCUUCCCUAGGGAAGGGUGGCUUCACAAACAACUCUGUUCUAAAAAAAAUGAAACUGAAGGACUCAGGUCAACAAUUUCUGACAUGGCCAGUCAAGCAGAAGACCCAAUAC